rnacentral:rRNA from 1 species
GACGAACGCUGGCGGCGUGCUUAACACAUGCAAGUCGAACGGAAAGGCCCUGCUUUUGUGGGGUGCUCGAGUGGCGAACGGGUGAGUAACACGUGAGUACCCUGCCCUUGACUUUGGGAUAACUUCAGGCAACUGGGGCUAAUACCGGCUAGGAGCUCCUGCUGCAUGGUGGGGGUUGGAAAGUUUCGGCGGUUGGGGAUGGACUCGCGCCUUAUCAGAUUGUUGGUGGGGUAGUGGCUUACCAAGGCUUUGCCGGGUGGCCGGGCUGGGCGGGUGACCGGCCAAGCCGCGACGGGGAUGCGACACAGCCCCCACUGGUACGGGAGGGAGGAGUAUGGUGUAUUGGAGGAGGGACCCUAGUGCAGUCCAGCCGCGUGGCGUGAGAGGUGAAGCGGGUUGGGUUGUGAUGCUCUCUUUGCCGAGGUGUUAGUGACGGUACUGGGUGAAGAAGCACCGGCUAACUACGUG